GAUGAACGCUAGCUACAGGCUUAACACAUGCAAGUCGAGGGGAAACGACAUCGAAAGCUUGCUUUUGAUGGGCGUCGACCGGCGCACGGGUGAGUAACGCGUAUCCAACCUGCCCACCACUUGGGAUAACCUUGCGAAAGUAAGACUAAUACCCAAUGACGUCUCUAGAAGACAUCUGAAAGAGAUUAAAGAUUUAUCGGUGAUGGAUGGGGAUGCGUCUGAUUAGCUUGUUGGCGGGGUAACGGCCCACCAAGGCGACGAUCAGUAGGGGUUCUGAGCGGAAGGUGCCCCACAUUGGAACUGCGACACGGUCCAAACUCCUACGGGAGGCAGCAGUGAUGAAUAUUGGUCAAUGGGCGAGAGCCUGAACCAGCCAAGUAGCGUGCAGGAUGACGGCCCUAUGGGUUGUAAACUGCUUUUAUAAGGGAAUUAAGUGAGUCUCGUGAGGCUUUUUGCAUGUACCUUAUGAAUAAGGACCGGCUAAUUCCGUGCCAGCCGCCGCGGUAA
rnacentral:rRNA from 1 species